rnacentral:rRNA from 1 species
UACGUAGGGUGCAAGCGUUAAUCGGAAUUACUGGGCGUAAAGAGUGCGCAGGCGGUUUGUUAAGUCAGAUGUGAAAGCCCCGGGCUCAACCUGGGAAUUGCGUUUGAAACUGGCAGACUAGAGUUCGGACGAGGGGGGUAGAAUUCCACGUGUAGCAGUGAAAUGCAUAGAUAUGUGGAGGAAUACCGAUGGCGAAGGCAGCCCCCUGGGCCAGAACUGACGCUCAUGCACGAAAGCAUGGGGAGCAAACAGG